CUUGGAGGUCAGGCAGAGGAGUUGGGGCUGUGUUUCCCUGUGUCUCACCAAGGAGGUGCAUCAUCACAGGGGCCGGUGUGGAGAAGGUCUUAGAGGAGGCCAGACAGGAGGCUGGAGCAACAGUGUAUGUGAGACCGACCUUCCUCCUCCUGACCUCCCUCCCGCCCUCCCUCCUUCCCUCCUUCUAAGCGCCAGGCGUCAUUCUAGGAGCUGAGAUUGCAUCAGUGCCUAUUUCUUCCUGCAACGAAGGUUCCAGUCGCAAGAAAGAGAGACAGCAGCCAGAAGAGCCAGGCACAAAGUGACAAGUGCUAUGGAAGCAGACAUCACAGGCCAAGUUGAUGAGCAGCUGGGUGUGAAGGGGAGGGACACAUUGCUACGGGAACAGCACAGGUGCGAGAGGAUUCUCAUGGGGACUGAGGCGCCCUGACUCCGGUGCUCCAGACCCCGGCAGAUCAUCUUGUAAGCUUCACUUCCAGGGCUCCCGAGGGGAUAAGAGUCACUGCACCAAGAGAAGCCCAAAGCCAUGGCUAUCCACCAGAGACAGAGACAGCGAGAGCAGGAACACAAGCAGGGGGAGUGGGAGAGAGAGAAGCAGGCUUCCUGCUGAGCCGGGAGCCCGAUGUGGGACUCGAUCCCAGGACCCUGGGAUCAUGACCUGAGCCGAAGGCAGUCGCUCAACCAACUGAGCCACCCAGGUGCCCCGCACGCACUCACUUUCAACCUGACUGCUGUUCCUUCAACCAAGGGGUGAGCGUUUUAUCUCCACCUGUCAUGGGCUGAAUUGUGUCCCCACAAAAUACCUGUGCUAAGUCCUAAUCCCUGGUACUUUAGAAUGCACCUCUAUUUGGAGCCCAGGCCUUUCAGGUGGGGAUUUAGUUAAAAGAAAGCUGUUAGGGUGGGACCCUAGUCCAAUCUAACUGGUGUCGUUUUAAGAGCAAAUGUGCACACACAAGGAGAUACAGCGGGCAUGCAUGCACAAAGGAAAAACCGCGUGAGGACACAGCAAACCAAGAGAGAGGCCUCGAAUAAAAUCAGUCUUGAUCUUGGACUUCCAGCCUCCAGAACUCUGAGAGGAUAAAUAUGUGUUGUCUAAGCCGCCCAGCCCGUAAUCCUUUGUUAUGGUGGCCACAGCAAACAAAUACACAAUUCCCUGAAUCUGGGCUGGUUGUACAACCAGCUUCAGCCCAGAAAACCCAGUGGAGGUGAGAUGGUGUGAGCUCCAAGCCUGAGGCGUCAAGAGAAAGUGCAGCUCUUGGUCCAAGGCUUCGAGCCCUGCCAAGGGGCCAUGCGAAGAACAGCCGGAGCAGAGCAUAUGGAGUGUGAAAGAGGAUGUGGGGCAGAGCCAAGCUGUCCCAGCUGAGACCAUCUGAGACCAGCCAGUCCCCAGCCAGCCGCCCAGCUGACCGCAGGCACAUGUGUGAACCCGACUGAGAAACGAAGAACGGCCCAGCGGAGCCCAGCCCAAAUUGCUGGCCCACGUUAUCAUGAGCACGAGACGUGGUUGUAAAACACUUUGGGGCUGUUUUGUUACACAGCAAACACUAACCGAUACAGUCAGGUUAGAGUUCACUCAUUUUCUCUCCCUGAGGUUUGUCACUUUCUCGUUUAUUUUUUUUUUCCCUUCCUCAGUAGCCUUUUCACCCACCCUUCAGGACCCUGAGCUCUGGAGGACUAGGCAGAGGCAGAAGGAGAGCUGAUGCCCCCCCCUACCCGCCCCCAGCUCUGGAAGGACACCACUAAGGAGGGGACCACCAGCGUCAGCAAAGCCCCCAAGGCCUGGACCCACCUGAGGAGCUUGGGGACAGAGAACCUGAAGACAUCACAGAUGAUAAGGCUGAAGGUCGCCAGGAGGAAGGUGGAGCGAGACAUCUGCCAGAUGGCUCUCAGCAGCGGGCCCCUCUGGCUCCCUUCUUGCUUCAGCAAGGGCUGCAUCUCUGGGGUCUCUACACCACAGCUUCCUUUCCUUUUAGCUGCUCUCGCCUUGGCACACCUUCAGGGACAGGAGAAAUUGGCUCUGGGUCAUUGCAACAGACUGAAGAGAGCGAGUGCAAGCGGAGGAGGGGCAGAGGGAGAGGAGAGAGAGAAUCUCAAGCAGACUCCCCGCUGAGCACAGAGCCCAAUGUGGAGCUCAAUCUCACGACCCUGAGAUUAUGACCUGAGCCAAAAUCAAGAUUCAGAUGCUUAACUGACUGCGCCAUCCAGGCAUCCCCUGCCAGCCUACUUUAAAAGAGACCAGAAUUCCAGAUUUUUACAUGAAGUCUCCAGUGUUUUAAAUGUUGGCACCUUAAAAAAAAAAAAAGUCCCAAAUAACAACAACAGUAAACACCACGUGGACCAAACAUACCUCUGUGACCCUCAUCUGGUCAGCAAGUGGCUUGUUCCUGACUUCUCAGGAUGACAUCCUCUCCCUUCCCCCCAGAAUUGCAAAAUACUUUGGAAAUAAAACCAAAGUUCUCUUCAUGUGUAAUCAGUCAGCUCCGAAAAUAACUGAGCUGGAUCUCGGUCUGGCCAUGCCUUCCUCCUUUCUUUCUGUCAGUUGCUACGGAUUCUUAAACUGUUGUGAAGAAUGUUUGUGUCCCAAGUUCUCGUGCCCCAAGGGGAGGUGACAGCUGGGAGAGAGUGGGCAGGACCUUGAGGGUCCUUCUGAAUGAAUUCUGCCACUUAAAAAUCUUGUAUGAGUGGAGGGGCAGGACAGCAAGAUAGGCCUGGAGAAUGAGUUGCUGUUUUGAUUUGCUCAUAUCAUUUACCCCUUUUGCGGAAUCACACCCUACUGUGGCUCUGAAGGGACCGCCAAGUAUGGGGGCCUGACCCUGGCUAUGGUACUGGUCCCUGAUUGGCACAUGACUGGAGCCAGCCAAUCAGAGGCCUUCCCUAGCAUUUUCUAUAUGGAUGCUAGGAGAGACACUCAUUUUGCAGGAGUUGCUACACUGGCAGGAUAUGAGAUAGGCCGCAGCACAGACAUCAGCUGAGCUGAGAGAUGGAGAGAAAGAAUUUGAACAUUAUGCAAGUCCCUGGAUCCAGCCACACCUGAAGCUAGACUACCUUCUCAAUUAUGUGAGCCAAUAGACAUUUCUCUCUCCCUUUUUCUAAUUUGUAGGAUUCAGCUAUCUACAACAACUGCCCCAAAUCCUAGAGUAUACAGGAGAACCCUGUAACUCUUCCCAUAGAGCUAAGUCACUUUUGUCUGUCCCCUGAAACACCAAGGUCAUGUGAUUUGUCCAAGGCCAUCAACUACGCAAUGGCAAGACUGCAUUUAACCCACGUUUAAUGAAUCCUAUGUUGACCGCUCUUUUCGGUAGGUCAGAGGUUCCCAGACUGGGUUUCUCAGAGUCAGAGGGGACCACAGAAGUUUCCAGAGAUGCCACAGAGGGCAGGAGUGAGGCAGAGUGGACAGGACUAGAAAGAGCUUGAAAUCCUCUGGAUAACGGAUACUCGGUCUGGCCAUGCCUUCCUCCUUUAGUGAGGUAUUCACUAAAUUCGUUUCCAAAAUCCACAUGAGCUAUGAGCCAGGGCCUAAUGGCAUGCCCACUGAACAGAUGAGAAAACCGAGGACCAGGAAACCAAUCCCUCAGGUUAAGUAAUAAGUAGCUGCAUGCAUGUUAUGGACCACCACCCAACCCUCCACUCCCCUACUCCCCGCCUGCCCCCAUUUCCUGCCUGCCAUCCCCCCAUUCAAGCUUCCUUCUGGGGGCCCCGAGGAGCACCCACUGUGUCCUUUGAGAGCCUGCAAAGCUCUCUGGAAGGAAACGUCCCUUGACCCUAGUUAGUUAUUGCUUAGUGGGAUCGGCUGUCAGGUAGGGGCCUAUGGCACUG